GACUUCGCUGAACACAAAUAUUAGUGUUUCAAAAUGAUAAAUUGUAUUACAACGAUUAUAUAUUUAGUAAAAGUGAAGUUUUUUGCAUUUUUCACACACGAACGGCACUUUUACUGACGAUAUUGUUGCAAUAUGUUUUUCUGUUUUGAAACACUUAUUUUUGUGUUCGGUGAAGUC